rnacentral:lncRNA from 1 species
AUGCAUAUACUGUCCACAUGGGCACACGUUUACUCUUGCCUGCGCGCGCCACUGCUUCAUCAAACACUCGCGCACACGCACAGCCGGGUGCACGCUGUCGCUUCGCCGCACAAACACGGAUUGUACGGGCCCCCAAAUAUGCAGCCACCCUUCCUUCACGCAGAUCUGCACGCUCCCAUUUAUGCAUCUCCCAAACAAAGGUAGCAAAACAAGGACCUCGCUGUGCAAAGCUGUGAGUAAAUGUCCUGCAAAUUGCGCCUCAGAGCCCAAGCUAGUCUACUAAACUCGCUCUCCCUUUUUCAACUUUCCCCUAAGUAAACAGGCCUUCUUUUUAUCCUGCAAAUCUCAGGCCCAAAUUUCUUCCACCUGAGUUUGAGCUGUUUAAAGGACUCUAAUUUCCAAACAGUUGGAGAGCUCUUUUCACCGACCUGGAACGUUCUGUCCUGUCGAGGAGCAGAGGUGGAGUGUGGAGUGGAGGUGGGGGAAUCUCACAGUCUAGGGGACUUGGGGAGGGCAGGGUGUGGUCGUACUCUGGGGCAGCCUUGCACCUAGAGAUCCUAUCCGUGUCCGCAGCCUUAUUUUCCUGACUCAGAACCAUAGGAGCUUUUAGCUAUUUAGGGACUCGCCAAGGCAGAAAUCUGCUCCCAGCUGAAGCGUCUUCGCAGGUGUUCACAUUCCCUUCCCAGAUGGGUGUUGCGGAUAAACCCACAGAUCUGUAUUCAGCGUGUUUCCCCUGGCAAGUUUGCGCGAGUGAGAGCCAAGACUUCAGCUAGAACCGGAAGAAAGGGUGACUGCAGGUCGCACAGUCAGUGUGACAGCCGGGGCUGGAGCCUGCGCGCCCCUGCUGUGCCCCGUCCCCGGCGGGUGGGGACCGACCGAAGCUCGUUGGCGUGUGAGUGCCUGAAUGCGCAUUCAGUCCGCGCCUCCGUCAAGACUUUCGGAGUCUCCCCCUCCCUUGCUCACCUCCGCUGCUUUGCCCUCCGGAAGCGACUCGCGCCCUUUGGGACAAAGAGCUCGGAUCGGGGGCUGGAGAGCCCGGGGACCAGUCAGCGCUCCAGGCGGGGUGGGUCUGGCCCGGGCUCACUUUGAGAAGCAGCCGCCUUCCAAUCUUCGGAAAUCCAACUUCUUCCACUUCGUCCUGGCCCUCUACGACAGACAGGGCCAGCCUGUGGAGAUCGAGAGGACAGCCUUUGUGGGGUUCGUGGAGAAGGAAAAAGAAGCCAACAGCGAGAAGACCAAUAACGGGAUUCACUACCGGCUGCAGCUCCUUUACAGCAAUGGUGAGGCUCCCCUGGGGUCUGUGCCUGCACUCUGGGGCUCUGGGUCAGGGCUGGGGGUCAGGCAGCUCCAAGUGGACAAAAGCCCCCAGCGAAGCCCAGUCACCGGCUUUGCUCCAGGUGAGCCGGCCUCUUAAGUUUCCUCCUCAGAAGUUUCACCUUUGGAGCACGAGCCGCCCAGGGAGGUUCUGUGGGUCCAGCGUGUACUUGAGGCCAGGUGUGGUGCCUCAGCUCUUCCUGGGCCACUUUCAUCCAUUCUCCCCUUCCAGAGGCCUGUUCUUUCCUCUUAGCCCAAAUACCAGGCCCAAAGCCCCUUAGGCUCAGGGGAUGCAGAGGGACUGCUGUCCACGAAGCAAGAGCAGCCAGGUAGGGUCAGGUCCCAUUCCUGGCUGCCCAGCCUGCAGCCUGGCUUGCAAGAGGCCAGGGCUCCUCUCUGGGCAGUG